rnacentral:tRNA from 4 species
UUAAUAAAAGCCAAAACAGAGGCAUAUCACUGUUAAUGAUAUAAUUGAAUUAUUAUUCUUAUUAAG